UACGAACUGUGCGAACGUUAUUCGGAAUCACUGGGCUUACAGGGUGCGUAGGCGGCUUGUUAAGUAGGGUGUGAAAGCCCCCGGCUCAACCGGGGAAUGGCGCCCUAAACUGGCGAGCUGGAGUGAGAUAGGGGUGUGCGGAACUUCCGGUGGAGCGGUGAAAUGUGUUGAUAUCGGAAGGAACGCCGGUGGCGAAAGCGGCACACUGGAUCUCAACUGACGCUGAGGCACGAAGGCCAGGGGAGCGAACGGG
rnacentral:rRNA from 1 species